rnacentral:rRNA from 1 species
UACGAAGGGGGCUAGCGUUGUUCGGAAUUACUGGGCGUAAAGCGCACGUAGGCGGAUACUUAAGUCAGGGGUGAAAUCCCGGGGCUCAACCCCGGAACUGCCUUUGAUACUGGGUAUCUCGAGUCCGGAAGAGGUGAGUGGAAUUCCGAGUGUAGAGGUGAAAUUCGUAGAUAUUCGGAGGAACACCAGUGGCGAAGGCGGCUCACUGGUCCGGUACUGACGCUGAGGUGCGAAGGCGUGGGGAGCGAACGGG